CAGGCUUCUAAAGCAAAAAAGCCAUCAAGAAUCAAAUCCAGUUGUGACCCUGUAAAGCAAAGCAACAGCUGUCCUGGCAGGAAAGCAAACAGCAUUGCCCAUCACUGGAGGUUUUAAUGUUUGAAGAAGAAACUAUUUGGUCUUAAGGCCUGUGGUACAUAUUUUAUCAUCUUCUCAGUCUAGGAAAGCUGCAUCCAUCCAUGAAAAUUCAACAAUAUGGUUACCUAGAUAGAAUCUGCAUAAAGAUGACACCAGGGGACAUUACAAAAGUUAUCAA